GUGCCAGCAGCCGCGGUAAGACGAACCGUACGAACGUUAUUCGGAAUUACUGGGCUUAAAGGGUGCGUAGGCUGUGCAGAAAGUUGGGUGUGAAAUCCCCCGGCUCAACCGGGGAAUAGCGCUCAAAACUACUGUGCUAGAGGGAGACAGAGGUAAGCGGAACUCAGGGUGGAGCGGUGAAAUGCGUUGAUAUCCUGAGGAACACCGGUGGCGAAAGCGGCUUACUGGGUCUCUUCUGACGCUGAGGCACGAAAGCUAGGGUAGCGAACGGGAUUAGAAACCCUCGUAGUCC
rnacentral:rRNA from 1 species